rnacentral:rRNA from 1 species
UGGCGCACGGGUGAGUAAUACACGGGAAUCUACCCCUUUGUGAGGAAUACCUUGGAGAAAUCCAGGUUAAUACUGCAUAAGCCCGGAAACGGGGAAAGGUGGCCUCAAGCUACCGCAGAGGGAUGAGCCUGUGUCCUAUUAGCUAGUUGGUAGGGUAAGAGCCUACCAAGGCAGAGAUGGGUAACCGGCCUUAGAGGGUGUCCGGUCACACUGGAACUGAAACACGGUCCAGACUCCUACGGGAGGCAGCAGUGGGGAAUAUUGCACAAUGGGCGAAAGCCUGAUGCAGCGACGCCGCGUGGAGGAUGAAGGUUUUCGGAUUGUAAACUCCUGUUAAGUGGGAAGAAAGACUGAUACCUAAUACGUAUCGGGGAUGACGGUACCACUAGAGAAAGCACCGGCAAACUUCGUGCCAGCAGCCGCGGUAAUACGAAGGGUGCAAGCGUUAUUCGGAAUCACUGGGCGUAAAGAGCGUGAAGGCGGUUUCCUAAGUCAACUGUUAAAGAGCUCGGCUUAACUGAGCAAGUGCAGGUGAUACUGGGAGGCUCGAGUGCAGGAGAGAAAGGUAGAAUUCUCGGAGUAGCGGUAAAAUGCGUAGAUCUCGAGAGGAAUACCGGUUGCGAAGGCGGCCUUUUGGCCUGUUACUGACGCUAAGCGCGAAAGCGUGGGGAGCAAACAGGAUUAGAUACCCUGGUAGUCCACGCCGUAACGAUGAUCACUGGAUGUGGGUCCUGCUUAGCAGAUCUGUGUCGAAGCUAACGCGUUAAGUGAUCCGCCUGGGAAGUACGGUCGCAAGAUUAAAACUCAAGGAUUUGACGGGGUCCGCACAAGCGGUGGAACAUGUGGUUUAAUUCG